rnacentral:rRNA from 1 species
UACGUAGGGGGCAAGCGUUGUCCGGAUUUAUUGGGCGUAAAGAGCGUGUAGGCGGCCUGGUAGGUCAGCUGUGAAAACUCGAGGCUCAACCUCGAGACGCCGGUUGAAACCAUCUGGCUAGAGUCCGGAAGAGGAGAGUGGAAUUCCUGGUGUAGCGGUGAAAUGCGCAGAUAUCAGGAAGAACACCCGUGGCUAAGGCGGCUCUCUAGUACGGUACUGACGCUGAGACGCGAAAGCGUGGGGAGCGAACAGG